ACUCAAAUGAAUAGACGGGGGCCCGCACAAGCGGUGGAGCAUGUGGUUUAAUUCGACGCAACGCGAAGAACCUUACCUGGGCUUGAACUGUGGUGGACCGCGGCAGAGAUGUCGUUUUUCGCAAGAACCGCCAUAGAGGUGCUGCAUGGCUGUCGUCAGCUCGUGUCGUGAGAUGUUGGGUUAAGUCCCGCAACGAGCGCAACCCUUACCCUUAGUUGCCAGCGAGUCAAGUCGGGAACUCUAGGGGGACCGCCCGGGUUAACCGGGAGGAAGGUGGGGAUGAUGUCAAGUCCUCAUGGCCCUUAUGUCCAGGGCUACACACGUGCUACAAUGGGCGAUACAAACCGUCGCGAUCUCGCAAGAAGGAGCUAAUCGGAGAAAGUCGCCCUCAGUUCGGAUUGCGGUCUGCAACUCGACCGCAUGAAGGUGGAAUCGCUAGUAAUCGUGUAUCAGAAUGAUACGGUGAAUACGUUCCCGGGCCUUGUACACACCGCCCGU
rnacentral:rRNA from 1 species